rnacentral:tRNA from 1 species
GUCAGUAUAGCUUAAUGGUAUAGCAUCUGUCUUGUAAACAGAAGAUUGUAGGUUCAAGUCCUACUACUGGCU